AACGUAGGAGACGAACGUUAUCCGGAGUUACUGGGCGUAAAGGGCUCGUAGGUGGCCAACUAAGUCAGACGUGAAAUCCCUCGGCUUAACCGGGGAACUGCGUCUGAAACUGUCGGGCUUGAGGCCGGGAGGGGGUAGCGGAAUUCCCAGUGUAGCGGUGAAAUGCGUAGAUAUUGGGAGGAACACCAGUGGCGAAGGCGGCUGCCUGGACCGGUUCUGACGCUGAUGCGCGAAAGCGUGGGUAGCAAACAGG
rnacentral:rRNA from 1 species